rnacentral:rRNA from 1 species
AAUGGGUCAGCGACUUAUAUUCUGUAGCAAGGUUAACCGAAUAGGGGAGCCGAAGGGAAACCGAGUCUUAACUGGGCGUUAAGUUGCAGGGUAUAGACCCGAAACCCGGUGAUCUAGCCAUGGGCAGGUUGAAGGUUGGGUAACACUAACUGGAGGACCGAACCGACUAAUGUUGAAAAAUUAGCGGAUGACUUGUGGCUGGGGGUGAAAGGCCAAUCAAACCGGGAGAUAGCUGGUUCUCCCCGAAAGCUAUUUAGGUAGCGCCUCGUGAAUUCAUCUCCGGGGGUAGAGCACUGUUUCGGCAAGGGGGUCAUCCCGACUUACCAACCCGAUGCAAACUGCGAAUACCGGAGAAUGUUAUCACGGGAGACACACGGCGGGUGCUAACGUCCGUCGUGAAGAGGGAAACAACCCAGACCGCCAGCUAAGGUCCCAAAGUCAUGGUUAAGUGGGAAACGAUGUGGGAAGGCCCAGACAGCCAGGAUGUUGGCUUAGAAGCAGCCAUCAUUUAAAGAAAGCGUAAUAGCUCACUGGUCGAGUCGGCCUGCGCGGAAGAUGUAACGGGGCUAAACCAUGCACCGAAGCUGCGGCAGCGACGCUGAUGCGUUGUUGGGUAGGGGAGCGUUCUGUAAGCCUGCGA